AUUGAACGCUGGCGGAAUGCUUUACACAUGCAAGUCGAACGGGAGCACGGACUUCGGUCUGGUGGCGAGUGGCGAACGGGUGAGUAAUACAUCGGAACGUGCCCAAUCGUGGGGGAUAACGUAGCGAAAGCUACGCUAAUACCGCAUACGAUCUAAGGAUGAAAGCGGGGGAUCGCAAGACCUCGCGCGAUUGGAGCGGCCGAUGGCAGAUUAGGUAGUUGGUAGGGUAAAGGCCUACCAAGCCGACGAUCUGUAGCUGGUCUGAGAGGAUGAUCAGCCACAGUGGGACUGAGACACGGCCCAGAGCCCUACGGGAGGGAGCAGUGGGGAAUGUUGGACAAUGGACGCAAGUCUGAUCCAGCCAUUCCGCGUGCAGGAUGAAGGCCCUCGGGUUGUAAACUGCUUUUGUACAGAACGAAAAGGCUCUGGUUAAUACCUAGGGCUCAUGACGGUACUGUAAGAAUAAGCACCGGCUAACUACGUGCCAGCAGCCGCCGUAA
rnacentral:rRNA from 1 species